UGAAUACGAGAUGCUACGGCAUCGAAGCAGUCUAUGUCAUACUUCCAAGAAAAGCUUGCACUGUCAUAAACAAAUAAUGCCUGUACCAUAACCGACACAGGUGGGUAGGUAGAGUAUACUAAGGGGCGCGAGAUAACUCUCUCUAAGGAACUCGGCAAAAUGACUCCGUAACUUCGGGAGAAGGAGUGCCUUAUUUAUAAGGUUGCAAUAACAAGAUCCAAGCAACUGUUUACCAAAAACACAGGUCUCCGCUAAGUCGUAAGACGAUGUAUGGGGGCUGACGCCUGCCCAGUGCCAGAAGGUUAAAGAAGUUGGUUUGCAUCAGCGAAGCUGAUAACUGAAGCCCUGGUGAACGGCGGCCGUAACGAUAACGGUCCUAAGGUAGCGAAAUUCCUUGUCGGGUAAGUUCCGACCCGCACGAAAGGCGUAAUGAUUUGGAUACUGUCUCGGAGAGGGGCUCGGUGAAAUAGACUUGUCUGUGAAGAUGCGGACUACCUGCACCAGGACAGAAAGACCCUAUGAAGCUUUACUGUAACUUGAGAUUGAAAUUGGACUUUAUUUGCGCAGUAUAGGUGGGAGACGUUGAAAAUAUUCUUGCGGGAAUAUUGGAGUCAUCAGUGAGAUACCACUCUUAUAAUGUUAGAUUUCUAACUUUGUAUCAUUAUCUGGUCAAAGAACAGUCUCAGGCGGGCAGUUUGACUGGGGCGGUCGCCUCCCAAACGGUAACGGAGGCGCACAAAGGUUUCCUCUGAACGUGUAGAAAUCGUAUCUAGAGUGUAAAGGCAUAAGGAAGCUUGACUGUGAGACCUACAAGUCGAGCAGGGACGAAAGUCGGUCUUAGUGAUCUGACGGUGCUGAGUGGAAAGGCCGUCACUCAACGGAUAAAAGUUACUCUAGGAUAACAGGCUGAUCUCCCCCAAGAGUUCACAUCGACGGGGAGGUUUGGCACCUCGAUGUCGGCUCAUCGCAUCCUGGGGCGGUAGUACGUCCCAAGGGUUGGGCUGUUCGCCCAUGAAAGCGGUACGCGAGCUGGGUUCAGAACGUCGUGAGACAGUUCGGUCCAUAUCCGGUGUAGGCGUUAGAAUAUUGAGAGGAGCCUUCUUUAGUACGAGAGGACCGAGAAGGACAUACCUCUGGUGUACCAGUUAUCGUGCCAACGGUAAACGCUGGGUAGCUAUGUAUGGAGAGGAUAACCGCUGAAAGCAUCUAAGUGGGAAGCCCACCUCAAGAUAAG
rnacentral:rRNA from 1 species